UGGAAUUGUAAAAGCGUAACAAGGUCUCCGUUGGUGAACCAGCGGAGGGAUCAUUAUAGAGUUUUCUAAACUCCCAACCCAUGUGAACUUACCAUUGUUGCCUCGGCAGAAGCUGCUCGGUGCACCCUACCUUGGAACGGCCUACCCUGUAGCGCCUUACCCUGGAACGGCUUACCCUGUAACGGCUGCCGGUGGACUACCAAACUCUUGUUAUUUUAUUGUAAUCUGAGCGUCUUAUUUUAAUAAGUCAAAACUUUCAACAACGGAUCUCUUGGUUCUGGCAUCGAUGAAGAACGCAGCGAAAUGCGAUAAGUAAUGUGAAUUGCAGAAUUCAGUGAAUCAUCGAAUCUUUGAACGCACAUUGCGCCCAUUAGUAUUCUAGUGGGCAUGCCUGUUCGAGCGUCAUUUCAACCCUUAAGCCUAGCUUAGUGUUGGGAGCCUACUGCUUUUGCUAGCUGUAGCUCCUGAAAUACAACGGCGGAUCUGCGAUAUCCUCUGAGCGUAGUAAAUUUUUAUCUCGCUUUUGACUGGAGUUGCAGCGUCUUUGGCCGCUAAAUCCCCCAAUUUUUAAUGGUUGACCUCGGAUCAGGUAGGAAUACCCGCUGAACUUAAGCAUAUCAUAGCGCCGAGGGAUUCAAUUCAUAUACGGAGCAAAAGAAACCAACAGGGAUUGCCUUAGUAACGGCGAGUGAAGCGGCAACAGCUCAAAUUUGAAAUCUGGCCCUCGGGUCCGAAUUGUAAUUUGUAGAGGAUGAUUUUGGUGCGGUAUCUUCCGAGUUCCUUGGAACAGGACGCCUUAGAGGGUGAGAGCCCCGUACGGUUGAAUGCCUAGCCUCUGUAAAUCUCCUUCGACGAGUCGAGUAGUUUGGGAAUGCUGCUCUAAAUGGGAGGUAAAUUUCUUCUAAAGCUAAAUAUUGGCCAGAGACCGAUAGCGCACAAGUAGAGUGAUCGAAAGAUGAAAAGCACUUUGAAAAGAGGGUUAAAUAGCACGUGAAAUUGUUGAAAGGGAAGGAUUUGUGACCAGACUUUUUCUGGGCGGAUCAUCCGGGGUUCUCUCCGGUGCACUUUGCCCAGUAAAGGCCAGCAUCGAUUUUCGGCGGCGGAUAAAAGCAGUGGGAAUGUGGCUCCCUACGGGGAGUGUUAUAGCCCAUUGUAUAAUACGCUGCUGGGGAUCGAGGUACGCGCUUCUGCAAGGAUGCUGGCGUAAUGGUUAUCAAUCACCCGUCUUGACACGGGAACA
rnacentral:rRNA from 1 species